UACGUAGGGUGCAAGCGUUGUUCGGAAUUACUGGGCGUAAAGCGCGUGUAGGCGGUCACGCAAGUCAGGUGUGAAAGCCCAGGGCUCAACCCUGGAAGUGCACAUGAUACUACGUGGCUGGAGUACUGAAGAGGAGAGCGGAAUUCCCGGUGUAGAGGUGAAAUUCGUAGAUAUCGGGAGGAACACCGGUGGCGAAGGCGGCGACCUGGUCCGUGACUGACGCUGAGGCGCGAAAGCGUGGGGAGCAAACAGG
rnacentral:rRNA from 1 species